GGGCGGGCUCGGCCGCGACUUCCAGGCCCCGCCUGCUGUCAGCGCCGCCGCCAAUCAGCGCCCGGCAGCGCCUGGAGAGGCUGGGACCGCGGGGAGGGGACACGGCGGUGGCGGGGGCGGGGGCUGGGGACCGGGGAGUCCUCGGUGGCCUGGGCUGCAUCGGGGAAUUCGAGACUGUCCGAACUGGGCGGAGGAGAAGGGCGGACCGGGAGAGGCGGGCAGAUCCGCAGGGAAAUUGAUUUUUAUUAGCAUUUGGAGAAUCCCCUGGCGUGGACUACAGGACUGAAGGAGAACAGCUCAAAUUGGCGGUAUGGCCACCUUACUAAUUCAAGGAAAAGGGCUUGAGGCUCGAAGGCUGGAGUGCAAUGGUGUGAUCACUGCUCACAGUAGCUUCAAACUCCCAGGAUUAGGAAAUGGCAAAGCUGCUUACCAGAUGUUCUAGCUUAUAUUCUACCACCUGAGUAAACUCCGUGCAAAUGCCAUAUCUCUUCUAACAGUUUCAGCAAAAGCCCCAGAUCUGGUAUCAAUUGGUUUGGCCUGGAUCAUAUUCAUAUCCUUGAUGCAAUGGUUGGAAUAAAGAACUCCUGAAUCAACUGCUCCUGCCACAGGAGUUACACAACAACCAGCCUUGUGGAUCAAGAGGAACUGCCGCUGUCUUCUUUUUUCAUCUUACCACCUGGUCCAAUUCUACCUUGUUUUCCUGAAUUGUCACUGAGCUUUCAAUACAAGUGAGGAUGGUGUUUGUAAAUUGCAGAAAGACCAGUUUAUCUGUGGAGGAACCACAUAGAGAGUUAGUGUUAUUUUACACUACGUGAAGGCCAGAGGUAAGAGGGCCAGUACAGUAUCUUCAUGACUCCAUCAGGGACACAGGGGCUUCUGUCUGUUCCUUAGACACUCACAGAAUAUGGAUUUUGUCCUCUUGCACUUUCCCUGAAGAUCUCAAAGUAUUUUCUCCACUUCCUGCCUUACCUCAGGAAGAAGUAGAAGGCAGAGGGAAGAAGUUGCAUGCCAGUUAACUGUCCUCAGAGAGAGGGGUGGGGGCAGCCCUGGCAGCCAGGAGCUGGCCUGGCACUAUCAAUGGGCCUUGUUGCUAGGAGCUGACCUGGCACUCAUGGCUAGGCCUUAGCAACUAAAGAGACAGUGCUAGAGAUACCAGAAUUAUAGUUAGCGUUUUGAAGAAAAGGGGUGGAAAAAAACCUUUGACUAUUCACAAGUUGGACUAGAUUUGACUAACACUUGCACGGCCCAAGUGGACCUCUGUAAAUACAUUUCAAAAAGUUACAUUAAUUCUCUGUCUAGAUUUAUGUAAAUAGUCUCAGGGAAGGCAAACUGAGACAGCAAAUGGCAACUGUGAAAUACAGUUUUAUUUGCACACAGGAGAACCUAGUUUUGACAUUUUCUUAAACAACCAAGAUUUAUUCUUUAAAAAAUUAAAUAACACAAGUGAUACAUAAACACUUAUGUACUAUAAAACAGUCAAGUAUUAAAUAAUAUGAGCAUAUAGAGUGAACAUUACAGUUUCCUUUCCCUUCCUCCACAACCUUCCCUUACUAGCAGGAACUACUGCUAAAAUAUUAGUGCAUUUAGUAGAGAAUUUUCCUCUUUACAGUCACACUCAUUUUAGUUUCUUGUGUGUGUGUGCGUGUGUGUAUCAUUGUCUUCCCUUAUACAUACAAGUUACUCUCUUACCAUAACAAGUAGAACUGCUGAGUCUAAGGUUUAACUUUAACCUUUUGGUGACCAGACUCCAAAAUGUUCUUUUAUGGCCACAAAUGGUGUAUGAAGGUAGUCAUUUCCUCUUACCCUUACCAACCCAGAGUUACUCACUCUUCAGUGAAGCACUUGGUACCCCACUGUUGGUUUAAUUUCCCUGAUUACUACUGAUGUUGAGGACCAUUUCAUAUGUUUAUGGACUGUUAGGAAUUCUUGUUCUAUGAUUUGUUUAUUCUUAUUCUUCUUGCUGAUUUGUCUGGAGUGUUUAUGUGGUAUGGAUAUUAAUUCUGUGUUGUAAUCAUACGAGUUGAAAACAUUUUCUCUCACUCGGCAAGUUGCCUUUUAGUUUACCAUAAUAUAAGAUAUUUUAUUAUAGAUAUAUUUAUAUAUAUAUUAUUACAUGACAACAUUUUUUUCUUUUUAGCUUCUGAGUUUUGUGUUUUACAAUAAAAUUUUUCUUUAAUCCAA